GAUGAACGCUGGCGGCGUGCCUAAUACAUGCAAGUCGAGCGAACGGACGAGAAGCUUGCUUCUCUGAUGUUAGCGGCGGACGGGUGAGUAACACGUGGAUAACCUACCUAUAAGACUGGGAUAACUUCGGGAAACCGGAGCUAAUACCGGAUGAUAUUUUGAACCGCAUGGUUCAAAAGUGAAAGACGGUCUUGCUGUCACUUAUAGAUGGAUCCGCGCUGCAUUAGCUAGUUGGUAGGGUAACGGCUUACCAAGGCAACGAUGCAUAGCCGACCUGAGAGGGUGAUCGGCCACACUGGAACUGAGACACGGUCCAGACUCCUACGGGAGGCAGCAGUAGGGAAUCUUCCGCAAUGGGCGAAAGCCUGACGGAGCAACGCCGCGUGAGUGAUGAAGGUCUUCGGAUCGUAAAACUCUGUUAUUAGGGAAGAACAUAUGUGUAAGGAACUGUGCACAUCUUGACGGUACCUAAUCAGAAAGCCACGGCUAACUAC
rnacentral:rRNA from 1 species